rnacentral:rRNA from 1 species
GAUGAACGCUGGCGGCGUGCCUAAUACAUGCAAGUCGAGCGAACAGACGAGGAGCUUGCUCCUCUGAUGUUAGCGGCGGACGGGUGAGUAACACGUGGAUAACCUACCUAUAAGACUGGGAUAACUUCGGGAAAUCGGAGCUAAUACCGGAUAACAUGUUGAACCGCAUGGUUCAACAGUGAAAGACGGUCUUGCUGUCACUUAUAGAUGGAUCCGCGCCGCAUUAGCUAGUUGGUAAGGUAACGGCUUACCAAGGCAACGAUGCGUAGCCGACCUGAGAGGGUGAUCGGCCACACUGGAACUGAGACACGGUCCAGACUCCUACGGGAGGCAGCAGUAGGGAAUCUUCCGCAAUGGGCGAAAGCCUGACGGAGCAACGCCGCGUGAGUGAAGAAGGUCUUCGGAUCGUAAAACUCUGUUAUUAGGGAAGAACAAAUGUGUAAGUAACUAUGCACGUCUUGACGGUACCUAAUCAGAAAGCCACGGCUAACUACGUG